GCCGUCCACGGAGAUAUCAGGCAGUAGCUAUAAUACGGCUGGCACAUGCAAUUCCCCAAAAUUUUAUUCAUACCCAAUAAAAGUUAAGGUCAUACGCCAAUUUUAUCGUAUGUAAAGUGAAUUUCACAAAAAACAUUGUUAGAUGCCAAAACUUGGCCUAUUUCAUAAAUUCGAGGACACUAUAUAAUCUAUAGAAAAUGAUCAUUUUGUAAAGUUAAAUAAUACCCAAUACAAUAAAAUUUGUCCAGAAAGUAUAAACAAUAUUUGAAGGAAAUUCCUUAAUAAUUAAGAUGAAACAAUCAAAUUGCUGGGAAACAAUGCUGUUGUUGAGCAUUUACUGACAGAAGUAGCCAAAAAACCAGUAAUUUGAGUUACCUCCCUUGGCGUAAAAAAAUGUAAAAUGAUCCGAAACUUGCAUAAAUUGUAAUUUUCGAAGAAAACAGUAUUUAUUUAGAACAUUUUUCACUUAUCUCGAUUUGUUUAUCAAGUGUAAACGUGGAAUUAAUUUUUUUUUUUAAAUUUGAUGGUGAAAAAUAAAUAUUCAGCCCGGACCUUAUUAAAGUUUCGUGGGUAAACAGAUAUGGCUGACAAGUGAUAGAAACGUGAAGUUUUUCUAGGAGUGGUCCUUAUUUUAGGGACUUGUCAACCCUUAAUAAUUGUUCAAAAGACAUAAGUGGAUAUUCAAGAUAUUUUAAAGUUGGAACUGCGUGUAAUAUUCAUCCGAGAUUGACCCCCUGCUGUACAGAUCGGGGUAGAUCUACUUCGAAUUCGACGUAAAAGUUUAACUGUUUAAACUAUCGUGCACGGUGCAGAUGCUUACUAGUAUGCCGAGGUCAUUGCGAUUCUUUGGGGAUUUACUGGAGGCAACCACCACCAAUUGUUGUUAUCUACUACACAAAGGAAAGUGUAAAGCAGACAGAGCAGUAAACUUCAAUGUUUCAAGGGAAAUAUUUGUUCCCGUUGGAAGUGAUUUGGAAAAUAAUUAUAGUCAAAUCACCCCUACUGCAAGCCAAUUAUCAGACUGUAUCAAUCUCAGCUGAGUCCAAGAUAGGAAGAGGCUUUGGAGAGAACACAGAAUUACUACAGACAAAAGACUUGUGAAGUUAUAAGGGGAAUUGCAGAACUCAUAGCUCCACUUCAAUCUAGAUAUGUUGACAGUUAUUUCACAGAAACACUUUGCAGCUGACAAAGAUAAUCAAAUGAUGACCACUACUUUAACUCUAUGGUUGCAGCAUAUUUCAAUUUUUGAAGUGACAAAUUUUAUUCCUGUUUGUGAACCAAUAUUCAAAAGAAACACUGCUAUGGCAUUAUACAUAAAUUAGAAGAGUGGUGGGGUGGCAAAAUAAGAUUCCACACUGUGAAAUGUAUCAAUUGUUAAUAUACAUGUAUCAAUAUAAAUUCAGUGCCAAUUUUCAUAAUUUCUAGGGGAAAAGUUUGUUUGUAACAAUUGUCAGAAAUAUGUACUAGCUCUUACUUUGCAAACCAUGCUACUAAGUACCAGGCAUUAAGACAUGAUUUGUUUAUUGUCAUUUGUUAAACAGAGACAGUUCCAGUGAUUUGAAAGGGGGGGUCCAGAAAAAUGAUCUAAAAUCUGCAUUAGGUCAUAUCCAAUGAAUUGAUAAAGUAAAUAUGUUUAUUAUUGAUUGCUAGUUACAUGUAACCUUUUAUGCAUCAGUUGAAGAUACUUUAUGAACAUUUUCUGUCACUGGGUAAAAUUCAACAAACAUUUUGUGUAUCUGGAAGUGGUCAAUAUAUAUUUCAACAUCAGAGUAAACAUGCAUUAAAGCAAGUCAGCCAAUCUGAUGUAGGCAGAAAAUGGAAUAUGGCAUGAUAUUUCAUGAAUGCAAAGGGAAAUGCUUUACAAGAGAGUCAAAAAAUUUCUGGUUAAUGCUAAAUAACUAUCUAGAUGUCCCAGAGAAAAGGAGAGGGUGUUUUCUACCCCUCCCCCCAACCCCCUCGGGAUCUGCCAAUGUCAAGUUUGUAAUGUGAGUGAAUGAUUUUAGAUUCUUCAUGAUAGGCAAUUUAUUAAAAUUUGAUUUACUGAUAAUUUUAACUUCAUAUAUGUGUAUUAAUUAAUUGACUAUUAUCUCAAAUCCUGUGUCAGAAAUGACCUCUAAAAAUCAACAUUAUAAAAUUUUAUACAAUGAAUUACAUAGGCAUUUUUUUUUGCCUUUAUUAUAUAGAAUGUAUACAAAGACAUGAAAUUUAUUUCUGAAUGUUCAUAUGUUCUAGUAAUUUUUCUUGAAUUUUAAUCAUUUAAUCAUUGAUUUGUUAUAUUUACGUCAUAUUUAUUUCUAUUUAUGUAGUUCAACAAUCUUCAUUUAAGUAGUUGACCUCUUUGCACUUAUUGAAAAUUUUGAGAUUUCAGUUCAACUUUUCACCAUCAAACCUUGAUUUUCCCACUGAAUUUAUUUUUGUAACUUGAAAUACACCUCUUCAAGUUUCUGGUUAUACAUAAUUUAUUUCUUUUGAGACAUUGUAUUGGGUUUUGUGAGAUCUUAUAUUUUGAUCAUUAUUUUGUAAAAUAUAUUGGUGUGAAAUAUGUGCAAUUUUAACAAUUAAUAAAUUCAUUCAUUGGAUGAAUAUACACACAAAAA